UGAGGGAUAUUGGUCAAUGGGCGCAAGCCUGAACCAGCGACGCCGCGUGGGUGAAGAAGGUCUUCGGAUCGUAAAGCCCUUUUCCCACUGAAGAGGAAGGACGGUAGGUGGGGAAGAAGUCUCGGCUAACUACGUGCCAGCAGCCGCGGUAAAACGUAGGAGGCAAGCGUUGUCCGGAUUUACUGGGUGUAAAGGGCGCGCAGGCGGGAUAAAAAGUCAGUGGUGAAAUCCUACAGCUUAACUGUAGAACUGCCUUUGAUACUUUUAUUCUUGAGUUCGGGAGAGAGAGACGGAAUUCCAGGUGUAGUGGUGAAAUACGUAGAUAUCUGGAAGAACACCAGUUGCGAAGGCGGUCUCUUGGUCCGACACUGACGCUGAGGCGCGAAAGCGUGGGGAGCAAACA
rnacentral:rRNA from 1 species